AUUGAACGCUGGCGGCAGGCCUAACACAUGCAAGUCGAACGAGUGGCGGACGGGAGAGUAAUGUCUGGGAAACUGCCUGAUGGAGGGGGAUAACUACGGGAAACGGGAGCUAAUACCGCAGACUAUCAGAUGUGCCCAGAUGGGAUUAGCUAUGUGGUGGGGUAACUGCUCACCAAGGCGACGAUCCCGAGCUGGUCUGAGAGGAUGACCAGCCACCCUGGAACUACGACACGGUCCAGACUCCUACGGUAGGCAGCAGUGGGGAAUAUUGCACAAUGUGCGCAAGCCUGAUGCAGCCAUGCCGCGUGUAUGAAGAAGUCCUUCGGGUUGUAAAGUACUUUCAGCGGGGAGGCUUUACCCGCAGAGUCAGCUCCGGCUAACUCCGUGCCAGCAGCCGCGGUUCUAC
rnacentral:rRNA from 1 species